rnacentral:rRNA from 1 species
UACAGAGGUCUCAAGCGUUGUUCGGAUUCAUUGGGCGUAAAGGGUGCGUAGGUGGCGCGCUAAGUCGGGUGUGAAAUUUCGGAGCUUAACUCCGAAACUGCAUUCGAUACUGGUGUGCUUGAGGACUGGAGAGGAGACUGGAAUUUAUGGUGUAGCAGUGAAAUGCGUAGAGAUCAUAAGGAAGACCAGUGGCGAAGGCGGGUCUCUGGACAGUUCCUGACACUGAGGCACGAAGGCCAGGGGAGCAAACGGG